GUGCUCUCUUCGGCAGCACAUAUACAGAGAUUAGCAUGGCCCUGCACAAGGAUGACAUGCAACUUCGUGAAGUGUUCCAUAUUUAU
rnacentral:snRNA from 1 species